rnacentral:piRNA from 1 species
UGUGAAAUUCCUCAGACAAAAAAGGUAUCC